ACGGAGGAUGCAAGCGUUAUCCGGAAUCAUUGGGUUUAAAGGGCGCGUAGGCGGGCUAAUAAGUCAGGAGUGAAAGCCUUGCUUUUAACUGGGGAAUUGCCUUUGAUACUGUUGUGCUUGAGUAUAGUUGAGGUAAGUGGAAUUUGGGGUGUAGCGGUGAAAUGCGUAGAUAUCGGGAAGAACACCAGUUGCGAAGGCGAGUUACUGGACUGUAACUGACGCUGAGGCGCGAAAGUGUGGGGAGCAAACAG
rnacentral:rRNA from 1 species